CUUGUUUGAAAUAGACUAUUUUAAUUAAUUACACCUUAUGUAAUAAUCCUGGAUUUUGAUCGGUUGAUAGCCAGUGUAUUUUUCACCAAUAUACUGUUAUUAAAUGAAUUUCGCUUGUAACGUCACGAUUAUCAAUGCGUUUUUGAAGAUUAACGGACGUGAUUGCGAACUUGAUAAAUCCCGCACAGCCAAACGGACUUAACACUUCGGCAAGCGUUUUACUGCAGAUCGGGAAAAGACAAAGUGACCAUAUUUCUAUACCCCAGUCACUCUUGGGGAAAAUAAAGAAUUGGAAAUAAUGUCUAACAUGAUAACACUUUCAUUUUAUUGCUAAAAGUAAAC
rnacentral:lncRNA from 1 species